GCAUAUAAUAAGCGGAGGAAAAGAAACUAACUAGGAUUCCCUCAGUAACGGCGAGUGAAGCGGGACUAGCUCAGGAUGUGAAUCUGCGCUGUAUGGCGCCGAAUUGUGGUCUAUAGACUUUGACGUUAUCUGCCGGGCCAAGUUCCUUGGAAAAGGACAGCUGAGAGGGUGAGACUCCCGUCCGCCUGGUAGAGUGAGUCGUUGUCAACGAGUCGAGUUGUUUGGGAUUGCAGCUCUAAUUUGGUGGUAAAUUCCAUCUAAAGCUAAAUAUUGGUGGGAGACCGAUAGCGUACAAGUACCGUGAGGGAAAGAUGCAAAGAACUUUGAAAAGAGAGUUAAAGAGUACCUGAAAUUGCUGAAACGGAAGCGAAGGAAACCAGUGUUUGUUGGUUCAUAUUUCCCUGGCCACUUGUGGUUUGGGCGCUGUGAGCUUGCGUGGGUUUGCUUUGGUUGAUCCCUUUGGAAGAGCGCAGUCAGAGUUGAUGUCUGUUGCUAGCACUGGGUUUGACUAAUGCAGAA
rnacentral:sRNA from 1 species